AAGACCAUAUUUAGGCUGCUAACCUUAAAAUAAUGUUUCCAUUUGGUCUUU
rnacentral:tRNA from 2 species